GACCUCUCCCCUUCCUACCCUGCAUCGACUGCAGCUGGUCUGCGGCAGACACAUAUUUUAUAUAUAACUUUUGGUUAAUAACUGCAUGGUCUCAUUGAGUUCAAAGUCCAGAAUCUCUGUGUGCCAUGAGGAGUCAUUGUAUCAGAAGAUAGUGUACAACUUUUCCUGUAACAAAUUUGGAUGUGGUCCUUUUGAUCCAAAAGCCAUUUACUAAAAAGGUUCCAGAACUGGACGGAUGAAAUUUGGAGUAUGCCAAUAGAGGGAUUCCCGAAGAUACCCAGAGAACUCUGACUCUGCCACUUAAUGGAAAUGUGCGGAUGGUGGGAAGCCCCACACAGGCUGAUUCCACCUCAGAGGCAGGAUGUGAUGGACCACAUAGUCCCACAUGGGAAUCCUCUCCACUGUGUGUCACAGAAGCCUGGAGGGACACAUGGCUACAGAUUUUGGAGAAAAGGGAAUGUGAGGAGCACAAUCUCCAGAGUGGAAGAGACCAGGCAACUCUGUUCCUGUGGAGUACACAGUAAAUGAGUUUGAGGGUCAAUCUCUUUUCUAAGACUCAUGUUUUAAAGAAGAAGAACAUUGUAUGUCACCAUUUCUUCAUAUUUUUCUUUUUCACCAGAGUGACAAUUUUCUCCCAGGAAGUAAUUUCACCAACACAGCAUAUUUAAAACCCAUGGUCUUUUGUGAUUCCAGGUGAUGGAGUAAGGUCUUAAUCGCUUUCCUUUUGUCUUCUCUAGGGUGCUCUAUGAUUUGACACAUGGGACAUGAUCAUCAACAAGCUUCCAUAAAUUCCAGUCAUGCACAUUUUGUAUGGUCACGUGAAAUGAUAAUAGUAGAGAGUAAUGGGAUUAAAAAAUGGAAGUUGUGGGCUGGGGGUUUAGCUCAGUGGUUCUGCUGCCUGCCUCGCGAGCACAAGGUCCUGAGUUCGAUCCCCCGUACCAAAAAAAAAAGGGAAGUUGUAUCGACAUUAGAACUAAAUAUUCUUACUUUUCUAUUGAAUUUCCACCCCAAUCUUGGUCACAGGGGACUCUGAGAACAAAGCCCAGGGAUCUGUGGGAUACAGACUAACACCAGGUUACCUGAACACCAGCUUAUUGAGUACUUUUUGUCCUCAUCAUUGUAUCUCCAGGACUCAGAACUAAGUUGUAGUGACCCACCUCUAACCAGGCCUCUCCUCCUAAUAGCACAUUCAGCUAUGAACUCAUUGAUGAAUUAAUUCACUGAUGAAUAUAGCACCCCAUAAUCCAAUCAUGUUGCAAAUCUCAAACUCCUUACAGCCAUUUAUGUCUUAAUGGAUGGAGAAGCAUCCCCCCAUAUAAAGAGCAGCCCUGAAUUGCUGUCAGCAGUGGUAGGUGUGGUCUAGAAGCUAGUCUGCUGGCUGUGAGCAUAAGGGAUGAGCCAAAAUAUGUGAAGGACAAUGAGUGAUUGAGUAUGUUCUGAUCUUGGGACUGAAUGGCUAGGACUCAUCCCAGAGUCCAUCCCAGAGUCAUCUUUGCUAGAACAUAAGGCAGAGUGGCACCACAGGAGGACCUGGCUGUCUCUAACAGGGUUGCAGCAAAUGGCUGGGAACUUGCCUGAGGAGGUGUGAGAGUCUUCCUAAGAAUGGGUCUUGGUGUGGUGAGUGGACUCUUGGUCCCUCAUGUUUUCCUCAGCUUGUUGCAACUGUUCACAUGGGUUUAGUCUUGAAGAGAACACUCUGCUGAUCAUGCGGGUCUUCCUGGUGCAUUUCCCAUGUCAGAGGAUCAGGACCCAGGUGAUACAGUGACAAGAAAGUGUGUAAGUCCUGAGCACGUGUGUGAAUGUGGAUACCUGUGUGGGAUGAGCUGCCAGAAGAUACGAAGAAGCAAGGAGAAUGAAGUAGUUAGAGACUGCUCAUGGACAAUAAGGAUGAUGUACUCUUGGGAUUCCUUAGAAACCUUUCCUGCAGGGAAGCCAGAGACAAGAGGCAGCUGAGUGGAACAGAAAGAUAUAAAAUGAGACUAUGUUUGCCCUUGGGUUUUGAAAGGAUUGGGUCUGAGACUGGGGAGUGGUCUCAGAAAAUGUCACAGAGAUAAGGGCUGAGUGGGGUGGUCUUCCAUUGCCUACUCCUCCUUCACGCCAGAAAGUGUUCUUUGCAUUUGCAAAUUCAAACACUUAAUAAUGAGGCUGUCAUAUCCAAGAGCAUGCAAGUAAGAGAUAAUUCCUUUGGUCAAGCAGUUAGUAAAUACAGAAAAUGACUGAGGAUUGUCAAAGAUGUAUUGUUGAUUAAAAUUUUGUUGAUAAAUGGCUUACACAGAAUACUAGACAAAUGACUUCCAUUCACUAAAGCAUUUCUGCAUGUAGCCAGUUGAAUUUGAUAUCUGUUUGGUGAUUAUUCCAUUUAAGAAUAUAAAUACUACAAGAGUUCAGAUGGUAAAUGUCACACAGCAAGGAGUAAUUGACAUUUUCCUAUACCUAGAAGUCCCCCCUCCCCAGCUGAUUCUAUAUGGUUAACUUAAAAUGUUUAAAGUCUGUUUUUGAAUUAUGUGAUUUUGGUAAUCUUUUAUUUGAAUAUAAUAUUGAUAUAUACAGCCAUAGGCUAAUCUUUAGGGCAAACGUAUUGUUAUUUUAGUCAAUAUUUUGUGUGCAGUUUUGUGUAACUUCAGAGUAUCAAAAGUGUGAAGCAGACCUUUGUUACCUUGACAAUGAACAUAUUCAUUUAUAGCACUGUGUGGUUGAUCUUGGGAAAAGUUUUAUGACUUAAACCGUGGUCAUUGAUGAACACAUUGGUUCCAUCUUUUGGCUAUUGUGAAUUGUGCUCCUAUGAACACAGGCAUUUGCUUAACCUUGCAAAUAUUUUUUUUUCUUUUAGUACUUGUAUAGUUAUUUUUUUUUUUGGUGUAGAUCUUGAAUUCAUUUGAUGCUUUUACUGGAGUAUGGCCUAUAUUAAAUUGGGCCUUUAAUGCAAUUGUAAGUCUGCUCCUUGUGUCCACCUGUCUUUAUGGAUAUCAGUUUUAGAUAGAACAUGCUUCUAUAUCUAGUAAGGGAGAUUGUCUCAUAAGGUGGAGAGAAAAUUUCCUUGAAGAGAGAUAUGUCUUUCUAGUGUGCCCCAAGAUGGUGGGGAAAGUGAGACCUAAGGGAGAAGAGAACUGUUAUGAUUUUGAUCCAAAAUGUCCCCCCAAAGUCACAUUUGUUCAGGGUUGGGGAUUUGCAAGGUGACUGGACUAUUGGGUGCUAUACUCAUGAGUGGAUUAAUCCAUCCAGUCCAUAGCUGAAUGUGCUGUUAGGAGGUGAGGCCUGGUUGGGGGAUGGUCACUGGGGCCAUGGCUUGGGAGUGUAUAUUCUUGUACCUGGCUCCUCUCUUUCCCUCUGCCCUUAGCUACCAUAGGUUGAGGAGCCUUUCUCUGCCAUGCCUUUCUACCAUGCCAUUUCUACCUUGGCACCAGCUGAGUAUACAUGGACUAGACACUCUAAAGUCAUGAGUCCAAAUAAACCUCUCCUCUUUUAAGUUUUGGCAGUUGGAAAUUUGUCCCAGUGACAGAAAAGUGAAUAAUAUAGGACCAUAUUGUUAAAGGGAAAAAGAAGCUCAUUCUGAUUCUUAGGACCUUGGGAAGGAGAAGGAUUUCAUUUGACUUCAUUUUCCUGGAAGAGUUCAACUCAAUUAUGACACACAUUUGAUGUAUAUUUGCUAUAGUCUUUGUGUUUGUGUUCUUCCAAAAUUCUUAUGUUGAAACUCAAUACUCAAUUUGAGGAAAUUUGGAGGGAGAGCCCUUGGGGACCAAUUACAUCAUAAAGGCAGAGUCUGUGUGAAUGGGAUCAGUGCCUAUACUAUAAAAG